rnacentral:rRNA from 1 species
UUAAGCGACUAAGCGUACACGGUGGAUGCCCUGGCAGUCAGAGGCGAUGAAGGACGUGCUAAUCUGCGAAAAGCGUCGGUAAGGUGAUAUGAACCGUUACAGCCGGCGAUGUCCGAAUGGGGAAACCCAGUGCAAUUCGUUGCACUAUCGUUAACUGAAUACAUAGGUUAACGAGGCGAACCGGGGGAACUGAAACAUCUAAGUACCCCGAGGAAAAGAAAUCAACCGAGAUUCCCCCAGUAGCGGCGAGCGAACGGGGAGCAGCCCAGAGUCUGAAUCAGCUUGUGUGUUAGUGGAACGGUCUGGAAAGUCCGACGGUACAGGGUGAUAGUCCCGUACACCAAAAUGCACAGGCUGUGAACUCGAAGAGUAGGGCGGGACACGUGGUAUCCUGUCUGAAUAUGGGGGGACCAUCCUCCAAGGCUAAAUACUCCUGACUGACCGAUAGUGAACCAGUACCGUGAGGGAAAGGCGAAAAGAACCCCGGCGAGGGGAGUGAAAAAGAACCUGAAACCGUGUACGUACAAGCAGUGGGAGCACCUUCGGGUGUGACUGCGUACCUUUUGUAUAAUGGGUCAGCGACUUAUAUUCUGUAGCAAGGUUAACCGUAUAGGGGAGCCGCAGGGAAACCGAGUCUUAACUGGGCGUUAAGUUGCAGGGUAUAGACCCGAAACCCGGUGAUCUAGCCAUGGGCAGGUUGAAGGUUGGGUAACACUAACUGGAGGACCGAACCGACUAAUGUUGAAAAAUUAGCGGAUGACUUGUGGCUGGGGGUGAAAGGCCAAUCAAACCGGGAGAUAGCUGGUUCUCCCCGAAAGCUAUUUAGGUAGCGCCUCGUGAACUCAUCUUCGGGGGUAGAGCACUGUUUCGGCUAGGGGGUCAUCCCGACUUACCAACCCGAUGCAAACUACGAAUACCGAAGAAUGUUAUCACGGGAGACACACGGCGGGUGCUAACGUCCGUCGUGAAGAGGGAAACAACCCAGACCGCCAGCUAAGGUCCCAAAGUCAUGGUUAAGUGGGAAACGAUGUGGGAAGGCACAGACAGCCAGGAUGUUGGCUUAGAAGCAGCCAUCAUUUAAAGAAAGCGUAAUAGCUCACUGGUCGAGUCGGCCUGCGCGGAAGAUGUAACGGGGCUAAACCAUGCACCGAAGCUGCGGCAGCGACACUAUGUGUUGUUGGGUAGGGGAGCGUUCUGUAAGCCUGCGAAGGUGUGCUGUGAGGCAUGCUGGAGGUAUCAGAAGUGCGAAUGCUGACAUAAGUAACGAUAAAGCGGGUGAAAAGCCCGCUCGCCGGAAGACCAAGGGUUCCUGUCCAACGUUAAUCGGGGCAGGGUGAGUCGACCCCUAAGGCGAGGCCGAAAGGCGUAGUCGAUGGGAAACAGGUUAAUAUUCCUGUACUUGGUGUUACUGCGAAGGGGGGACGGAGAAGGCUAUGUUAGCCGGGCGACGGUUGUCCCGGUUUAAGCAUGUAGGCUGGUUGUCCAGGCAAAUCCGGAUAAUCAAGGCUGAGGUGUGAUGACGAGGCACUACGGUGCUGAAGUAACAAAUGCCCUGCUUCCAGGAAAAGCCUCUAAGCAUCAGGUAACAUCAAAUCGUACCCCAAACCGACACAGGUGGUCAGGUAGAGAAUACCAAGGCGCUUGAGAGAACUCGGGUGAAGGAACUAGGCAAAAUGGUGCCGUAACUUCGGGAGAAGGCACGCUGGUGUGUAGGUGAAGCCCCUGCGGGUGGAGCUGAGACCAGUCGAAGAUACCAGCUGGCUGCAACUGUUUAUUAAAAACACAGCACUGUGCAAACACGAAAGUGGACGUAUACGGUGUGACGCCUGCCCGGUGCCGGAAGGUUAAUUGAUGGGGUUAUCCGUAAGGAGAAGCUCUUGAUCGAAGCCCCGGUAAACGGCGGCCGUAACUAUAACGGUCCUAAGGUAGCGAAAUUCCUUGUCGGGUAAGUUCCGACCUGCACGAAUGGCGUAAUGAUGGCCAGGCUGUCUCCACCCGAGACUCAGUGAAAUUGAACUCGCUGUGAAGAUGCAGUGUACCCGCGGCAAGACGGAAAGACCCCGUGAACCUUUACUAUAGCUUGACACUGAACAUUGAGCCUUGAUGUGUAGGAUAGGUGGGAGGCUUUGAAGCGUGGACGCCAGUCUGCGUGGAGCCAACCUUGAAAUACCACCCUUUAAUGUUUGAUGUUCUAACGUUGGCCCCUGACCGGGGUUGCGGACAGUGUCUGGUGGGUAGUUUGACUGGGGCGGUCUCCUCCCAAAGCGUAACGGAGGAGCACGAAGGUUAGCUAAUCCUGGUCGGACAUCAGGAGGUUAGUGCAAUGGCAUAAGCUAGCUUGACUGCGAGCGUGACGGCGCGAGCAGGUGCGAAAGCAGGUCAUAGUGAUCCGGUGGUUCUGAAUGGAAGGGCCAUCGCUCAACGGAUAAAAGGUACUCCGGGGAUAACAGGCUGAUACCGCCCAAGAGUUCAUAUCGACGGCGGUGUUUGGCACCUCGAUGUCGGCUCAUCACAUCCUGGGGCUGAAGUAGGUCCCAAGGGUAUGGCUGUUCGCCAUUUAAAGUGGUACGCGAGCUGGGUUUAGAACGUCGUGAGACAGUUCGGUCCCUAUCUGCCGUGGGCGCUGGAGAAUUGAGGGGGGCUGCUCCUAGUACGAGAGGACCGGAGUGGACGCAUCACUGGUGUUCGGGUUGUCAUGCCAAUGGCACUGCCCGGUAGCUAAAUGCGGAAGAGAUAAGUGCUGAAAGCAUCUAAGCACGAAACUUGCCCCGAGAUGAGUUCUCCCUGAGACUUUAAGUCUCCUGAAGGAACGUUGAAGACGACGACGUUGAUAGGCCGGGUGUGUAAGCGCAGCGAUGCGUUGAGCUAACCGGUACUAAUGAACCGUGAGGCUUAACCUU